rnacentral:rRNA from 1 species
CAGUAGCGCGGUAAUACAGAGGGUGCAAGCGUUAAUCGGAUUUACUGGGCGUAAAGGGCGCGUAGGUGGUUAUGUAAGUGAGAUGUGAAAUCCCCGGGCUCAACCUGGGAACUGCAUCUUAUACUGCGUAGCUGGAGUGCAGUAGAGGGUAGUGGAAUUUCCGGUGUAGCGGUGAAAUGCGUAGAUAUCUGAAGGAACACCAGUGGCGAAGGCGGCUACCUGGACUGACACUGACACUGAGGCGCGAAAGCGUGGGGAGCAAACAGGAUUAGAUACCCCAGUAGUCCCUGUCUCUUAUACA